GCGGCUUGAUCUGAUACACCGAAAAAUUUAAGUUUAUAUAGUAAACGGUUGUGUGGAACUUUGUCAAAGGCUUUUGCGAAAUCCAUGAUGAUUAGAUCGGUUUGUAUAUUUUUGUCGUUAUUUGAACAUAGUUGGUGAAUUAGUGAUAUUAUUUGGGAUUCGCAUGAUCUAUUUGCCCUGAAGCCGUGUUGCAAGUCAUAAAGUAUGUUGUUGGAUUCAAGGUGUUUCAUAAUGUUGCUUGCAAUUAUGUGCUCUAAUAAUUUGCAUGAAAUACAUGUAAGUGAAAUUGGACGAUAGUUACCAGGAUGAUGUUUG
rnacentral:lncRNA from 1 species